rnacentral:rRNA from 1 species
GAUGAACGCUGGCGGCGUGCCUAAUACAUGCAAGUCGAGCGAACGGACGAGAAGCUUGCUUCUCUGUUGUUAGCGGCGGACGGGUGAGUAACACGUGGAUAACCUACCUAUAAGACUGGGCUAACUUCGGGAAACCGGAGCUAAUACCGGAUAAUACUUUGAACCGCAUGGUUCAAAAGUGAAAGACGGUCUUGGUGUCACUUAUAGAUGGAUCCGCGCUGCAUUAGCUAGUUGGUAAGGUAACGGCUUACCAAGGCAACGAUGCAUAGCCGACCUGAGAGGGUGAUCGGCCACACUGGAACUGAGACACGGUCCAGACUCCUACGGGAGGCAGCAGUAGGGAAUCUUCCGCAAUGGGCGAAAGCCUGACGGAGCACCGCCGCGUGAGUGAUGAAGGUCUUCGGAUCGUAAAACUCUGUUAUUAGGGAAGAACAUAUGUGUAAGUAACUGUGCACAUCUUGACGGUACCUAAUCAGAAAGCCACGGCUAACUACGUG